UUUUAAUGUCCAACAUUUAUAAUAUGAGGGCUAGUGCUUUCUUGCCAAGUUUAUAAGUUUUCGACUGGCUUGUAAGGUCAAUAGGGAUACUCCUUUUUGUCUAAUUUGGUUUCUGGGAAGACUUCAUUCAGGUCCUCAAUGGUCAUCUGAUCAAAUGGAAUUAUGUUCUUCAUCUUCUCCAGCAUUUUUUCAUAUUCUUCAAUCCUGGCCUUUGAGAGAGACAAAAACUCAGCACAGCGUUUCACAUCUUUUUUUUUCCCUCAGCAUCCACCUGGACAAUGUAUUUAUCCUCUGGCACAGAAACUUUCAACCUUCAAGGCGUUAAACUUCUUAUCAAAGUCAUCUACCAGGCCAGCCUUUGCCACAUUGGCCUUGUAGUAAGCCCAGUCGAUAGCAGGUGGUUUCUCAGGAAGAGUAGCCAACCUGGAGGGACACUGGAGCAAGAUGAUUGGACAAUAAGACUGCAAAUUCUACAUACUGCAAAUGCAAAUGGGUCUUCCUUUCAUGUCCAGCCACUCCAUAGCCAACAAAAUCCUAUUCAUGUGUCUACCUUGCAGUCAAACAUGCACAGGAAACAAAUAUGA
rnacentral:lncRNA from 1 species